rnacentral:rRNA from 1 species
UACGGAGGAUCCAAGCGUUAUCCGGAAUCAUUGGGUUUAAAGGGUCCGUAGGCGGUUUUGUAAGUCAGUGGUGAAAGCCCAUCGCUCAACGGUGGAACGGCCAUUGAUACUGCAAGACUUGAAUUAUUGGGAAGUAACUAGAAUAUGUAGUGUAGCGGUGAAAUGCUUAGAGAUUACAUGGAAUACCAAUUGCGAAGGCAGGUUACUACCAAUAUAUUGACGCUGAUGGACGAAAACGUGGGGAGCGAACAGG